UAGAAUUGUUUCUGUCUCACUGUGGUUGU
rnacentral:piRNA from 1 species